AGAUGCACAUUUUAGACAAAAAGAGAGAAAAAAAGUUAUGAGGACAGUAAAUGGGGUGGAGGUAGAAAAAUACAUUGUACAAACAGCCUCAGUUAAAAUGGAACGGUUAAGAUAUAAUCAGAAGUCAUCUGGCAAAAUCUCAUCAUCACAGGCUGAAUGAGCCUUUAAACAACUACAAAACACAAAAAUGUCUGCUACAAGCAUCAGUCUGCCUCAGAGGAAAAAAAUUCAAGAAGUGAUACGGAGUGAGCUUUAACCACACAUGUACAGGACCUGCAGAGGAUCUGCAGUCAGAUUACUGAACCACAAGGUACUUCAAGGCUUUUGCCUUGCAAAUCAAUCCAUCUUUUACUUGUUGUACUGGUCAAAUGCAAACAGGUCACAAAUUUUUACAUGUAAUAAACCCAACACUGUAGCUGUGCAGAUGUUCUCACACAUCUUUUGGUGUAGAUUUUUUUUUCACCUUUAUUUCUUUGUAAUGUGUCCAAAUGUCACUGUAUCUAGAACCAGGCCAUGUAGUUUGAAACAAGAGAAUAAUGGUUCAGGUAAAGCAAAGGUGUACAAUUGGAUCAAGCCCGCCCGCUGUUUGGUUCUCGUCUUGAAAAAGACUGGACAGAAAUCCACAACACAUGAAAACUCAAGUUCACAAGAGAGAGAGAGACUUCACAGACUAGGGUCCAAUCCCUUCCCAUUCUAUUCAUUUUGCACAUUCAUGUGACUUUGGCCUAAGUGCUACAAACUCAUUUGGACCAGUGCAAAAGAAAAAAAUUUGUUCAUAACUAAUUUCAGCCAACAUGGAAAUAUCUCUACAUUAUCGUUCCACAUGCCAUGUUUACUUCUUAAGCAUUUUGGCAUAAGAAACA